UAUUACUUCGUACUCCUCGCAGCGAAUGUAGCUCUAGUCUACUUGUUCGGACCGCCGACGAGGAAUACAUUCGUACUAUCAGAGCGAAGACGACACCCACAUUCCAGCAUCUUUCCCGCGAUGUUUGGAAUAGUACAAAUUUUUCUACUCAAUCCACAACAAAACAAAAACAGAAUGCAUCACAUUUCUACGAUAGCUUCGGAUCAUCAUCAUGUGGCAACCGUACUGGAUUAAGGAAACACCGCGUUUUUCGGAACGAUUCAGUACGUACGGCAAGAAGCGAUCGCACUCUUGAUGAUCCAUCAAACCGUAUUUUGAAACAUCGGGCAUUGAGAAAUUCUUGUGAGCGCCAUUUUUUAAAACAACGUAGUAAUGAAAAAAUACGUUCUACCGUUAUGAAAACAUCACACACAUCCAAUAGAAAAACACCGGUGAUAUCUAACGGUCAUUCGUCAUGUGCUUCAAUCAUUGAAGAAGACCAAUUUCAAUGCUGCAAUCAUAGUUCUCACUCUGAUUCUGAUGGUAGUGAAGGCGAUGUCGAUACGGGAAAUGCUGAAAUGUUAAAUAAUUUUUCUAUUUUUGAAUAUUUCGAACCUUAUCAUAACGAAACUCUAAUUAUUGAGGAUGAUGGUACGGAUGCAGAAUCUGACGAAUUGGAUGUUGAUAACUUCGACAAACCUAUUCGAGAACCAAAAGACGACAAUUUAACCAGGAAAGAACUGAGGGAACGGGGAAUGGAAUACACAAAUUGCAGCGGCAGAAAAGUACCUGCUCGAACAACC